rnacentral:misc_RNA from 1 species
GGCGGAGUGACAGGAAGCUAGGACAAUGUGGGGGGGUUGGAUUUGAUCACAUAUAGCACUUGAUGAAGAGGGAUACGAACGUUGCAUUGGCGAGCCACGCAUGUUCCAUAAUCUAGGGUGGUUCAUUGGUCUAAAUUAUCAAGUGCGGUCGGUGAAGAGGCCACCUGAUGCAAAGCCACGUCUGGCCAAAGUUAAGCCGGUGGCUAUGUUGGACACUC